CUGUAGCCUGUUCCCUUGCAAAAGGUUUAAAUGUCACUUCACAGGCCCUAGAAGAGCUACUUAUGGACAGCCAGGCAAAUAAGAAGGCAAUCCUUGAGAAUAGAGCAGCCAUUGACUACUUACUAAUGAAACAUGACUUAGGCUGUGAAGUUAUUGGAGGUAUGUGCUGUUUUAACCUAUCUGACCAUGGCACUAUGAUCCAUAAACAUAUAAAGAUUUAUAUGACUUAGUACAGGAUAUAAAAUAGGAUACUGGCUUCUUUGGGGAUUGGGAUUGGACAUUUGGGCCAGGAACAUGGUUAACUUUACUAAUUAAGAAGAUUUUGUACUUUUUGCUAUUAGCUGUAUUUGUCAUUAUGGCUAUUUUUUCUAACCUUUAGAUUUUUUUCAUGUCUACUAACCUCUCUAUGUAAAAGCAAACCUACUAUUGGUCGUACCUUAACUUACAUUCCAGCUCCGACUUCGGAAAGGUUUUAUGAUGUUACCUCGCCUAACAAAUAAAGGAACUCGCCUCUGCUGAUUCUGGUGGUCUCUCAGUCCAAGGGAACCGUGGUGAAGCAAUAAAUUAAAG